rnacentral:rRNA from 1 species
UGGGGAAUAUUGCACAAUGGGCGGAAGCCUGAUGCAGCAACGCCGCGUGCGGGAUGACGGCCUUCGGGUUGUAAACCGCUUUCGCCUGUGACGAAGCGUGAGUGACGGUAAUGGGUAAAGAAGCACCGGCUAACUACGUGCCAGCAGCCGCGGUGAUACGUAGGGUGCGAGCGUUGUCCGGAUUUAUUGGGCGUAAAGGGCUCGUAGGUGGUUGAUCGCGUCGGAAGUGUAAUCUUGGGGCUUAACCCUGAGCGUGCUUUCGAUACGGGUUGACUUGAGGAAGGUAGGGGAGAAUGGAAUUCCUGGUGGAGCGGUGGAAUGCGCAGAUAUCAGGAGGAACACCAGUGGCGAAGGCGGUUCUCUGGGCCUUUCCUGACGCUGAGGAGCGAAAGCGUGGGGAGCGAACAGGCUUAGAUACCCUGGUAGUCCACGCUGUAAACGGUGGGUACUAGGUGUGGGGUCCAUUCCACGGGUUCCGUGCCGUAGCUAACGCUUUAAGUACCCCGCCUGGGGAGUACGGCCGCAGGGCUA